CCCUUAGAUGUUCUGGGCUGUACGCGCGCUACACUGAAGCGUUCAACGAGUAUUCACCUUGCCCGGGAGGGUUGGGUAAUCUUUUGAAAACGCUUCGUGAUGGGGAUAGAUUAUUGCAAUUAUUAAUCUUCAACGAGGAAUUCCUAGUAAGCGCGAGUCAUCAGCUUGUGCUGAUUACGUCCCUGCCCUUUGUACACAUCGCCCGUCGCUCCUACCGAUUGAGUGAUCCGGUGAAUAAUUCGGACUGCAGCACUGCUUGGUCUCCAGGCUUUGCAGCGGAAAGUUUAGUGAACCUUAUCACUUAGAGGAAGGAGAAGUCGUAACA
rnacentral:rRNA from 1 species